rnacentral:lncRNA from 1 species
ACCUAUAACACUAAAGCUAAAUAAACAGCAAGAUCCAAAUAUGUGAUAGCCUCCACAGUUCACAACUAAUUACAGCAUGAGCAUUCGAUUACUUAAAGGGAAUUUAACUCGGAUUACACUAUGAAUAAAUGAGAGAGUACAAACAUCAAGCAAAGAAACAAAGAACUAAAGCAUAAUGGUGCUUCCAUUUCAUCCUUGAAUCAAGCCUUACAUCAUGAAGGUCCAGAACUUGUACCUGGAAUUCGAAAAUAAAAGCAGAAAAUGGAGAAUCAGCAACAGAACUACAACAGGCCAAUACCAGCAACACCAGCUCAACCAAGAUGAACUUGAAAACAAAAUAGAAGACAAUCCCAUUCGAACAAUACCCAAACAACUUCAAAAUUAAACCUCACACACCCAAUCUCAGUCCCUUUUAAGACUAUAUCAAUCAGAAACUCUUUUCAGGGUUUGAAAACAUGCAGGAAUUACAGAGUGAAUUUCAAUGAAACAGUAAUUUUACUCGAAUUUUUAGCCGUUUGGCCUUUUUUGAAAUUCAGCUUUCUAAUCUCUCUAUAUCUGCCUUGAAUAGCAAGGAAAAGAUGCCUUUAUAGGCAAGCAAAUAGGGCAGAUCCAAGGAGAUAUAUUUUUGCCAUUCAGUCCUUUUUUAGUUCCCAUUUUAGCUUAAACACCCCUGGUUUAAAUUCAGAUUGUGCCAAGUAGUCCCCCCCCCGGCUUUUUAGAAGCUUCCAGACAGUUACAAGUAGAUUCCCUCACUAAGACUACCCAAACUACCUCUCAUACCCCUGCUAUUUACCUUAAACACCAAAUGAGACAUGGGUCAAAUUAACCCACAGCUGAAUCAAGUGAACGGGCUACCCUUCCUUUAUAGAUGGGUCAAACCCAAAGCCUAAAUAGCUAAAUGAACCCAACUAAAUUGGUAACAAAAAAUAACACACAAACGAUUUCUUAAAACUAAACUGGUUGAUUGAUUAACCAGUACAAACAAACAAGGAAUUAACUAACCCAAUGAAUAAACCAGAAUAAACUAAUUAAAUUAGACUAAUGAGGCAACAUAAACGGGAAAAAUCAGAGGCUUGACUAUAACCCAACAAAUCAAGAACACACAUAUUUUUUAAAGGGACUUGAAAGAAAAAUAGAGGGAACAGAAAACAACUCAAAACAUCGGAAGAUAGGUCAAAUCUUCAAAUAGAGAAAAGGAGAAGAAAAGAAGAGGGACGGAAAGGUGAAAUAAAAACACAAUUGCUCACCCUGAGGGAUAGAAACUCACCACUCGGACUCGAAAUUGGGCAGGCACAAAGAACUAUGCCAAAUUUAUGUCGAUCCUUUGUUCUUCGUCAAGAAGAACUGAGCGACAUCUGUUUCGCCUAGUCCGAACCUCAGCUUGAUAGAACAGCACCUCCCGAACAUGCAUGCUACCAGGACUGACAGAAAAAAUGAUUUUGAACUUUUGGGGUUGACCUCAGAUUCAAGAUUCGCGGAGCUCCAGGCAGAUUCAAAGGAAAUUGGUCCGGGAUUUAUAAAGAGGGGAGUGAGGGGGUCACAAGGUGUUGUUUAGAUGACAUUUGGAAGUGGCGCCGCCACCGGACGAUGGUGGAUUUAGGGGCGGCUCAGCUAGGGUUAAGCUUGGGCUCUCUGAUAGACGGGGGUGUUUGGAAUGAUGAAAUGAGGGGGG